UACAGAGGUCCCAAGCGUUGUUCGGAUUCAUUGGGCGUAAAGGGCUCGUAGGCGGCCAACUAAGUCGGACGUGAAAUCCCCAGGCUCAACCUGGGAACUGCGUCCGAUACUGGAUGGCUUGAAUUCGGGAGAGGGAUGCAGAAUUCCAGGUGUAGCGGUGAAAUGCGUAGAUAUCUGGAGGAAUACCGGUGGCGAAGGCGGCAUCCUGGACCGACAUUGACGCUGAUGAGCGAAAGCUAGGGGAGCAAACGGG
rnacentral:rRNA from 1 species